UACGGGGGGAGCAAGCGUUGUUCGGAUUUACUGGGCGUAAAGGGCGCGUAGGCGGCGCAACAAGUCACUUGUGAAAUCUCCGGGCUUAACUCGGAGCGGUCAAGUGAUACUGUCGUGCUAGAGUGCAGAAGGGGCAACUGGAAUUCUCGGUGUAGCGGUGAAAUGCGUAGAUAUCGAGAGGAACACCUGCGGCGAAGGCGGGUUGCUGGGCUGACACUGACGCUGAGGAGCGAAAGCAUGGGGAGCGAACAGG
rnacentral:rRNA from 1 species